CCUACGGGAGGCAGCAGUGAGGAAUAUUGGUCAAUGGACGAGAGUCUGAACCAGCCAAGUAGCGUGAAGGAUGACUGCCCUAUGGGUUGUAAACUUCUUUUAUAUGGGAAUAAAAUGUUCCACGUGUGGGAUUUUGUAUGUACCAUAUGAAUAAGGAUCGGCUAACUCCGUGCCAUCAGCCGCGGUAAUACGUAGGAUCCGAGCGUUAUCCGGAUUUAUUGGGUUUAAAGGGAGCGUAGGUGGAUUGUUAAGUCAGUUGUGAAAGUUUGCGGCUCAACCGUAAAAUUGCAGUUGAAACUGGCAGUCUUGAGUACAGUAGAGGUGGGCGGAAUUCGUGGUGUAGCGGUGAAAUGCUUAGAUAUCACGAAGAACUCCGAUUGCGAAGGCAGCUCACUGGACUGCAACUGACACUGAGGCUCGAAAGUGUGGGUAUCAAACAGGAUUAGAUACCCCUGUAGUC
rnacentral:rRNA from 1 species